UAGGGAAUCUUCCACAAUGGACGCAAGUCUGAUGGAGCAACGCCGCGUGAGUGAAGAAGGUUUUCGGACCGUAAAGCUCUGUUGUUGGUGAAGAAGGAUAGAGAUAGUAACUGGCCUUUAUUUGACGGUAAUCAACCAGAAAGUCACGGCUAACUACGUGCCAGCAGCCGCGGUAAUCGUAGGUGGCAAGCGUUGUCCGGAUUUAUUGGGCGUAAAGCGAGCGCAGGCGGAAGAAUAAGUCUGAUGUGAAAGCCCUCGGCUUAACCGAGGAAUUGCA
rnacentral:rRNA from 1 species